rnacentral:lncRNA from 1 species
AGAUAUUUCAUAUCUGUGAUUCUUAAAGAAUCAUUUAGUUCAUUUAUAUUUUGUUUGCAUACUAAAUUAUUUAGGAUUAAGUCUAUAAUCUUAUUUUGUGCUUUCCAGUUGUCCUGCAUGUUAUAUUUCCCCCUUUCUUUUGGAUUGAUUACAUAGCUUUCUCUCAUUCUGUUUCUUCUCACCCUUUGUCAGUCUGUUGGUUAUAGCCUGUGUUUUUGUACUUUUAGUGAUUGUUCCAGAAAUUGAAGCAUUUGUUUCUAAGUUAUCAAAAUCUAAUAUUCAGGAACCUUCAUCUGCAAAAGACAAAGUCUUUAGACCCUCAACUAUAUUUACCCCAACCAAACCUAUAUGUUAUUACUGCUAUUUAUUUCCAACAUAUCUUUUUAAAAAAUAUUUUUUAGUUAUCAAUGGACCUUUAUUUUAUUCAUUCACAUGUGAUGCUGAGAAUCAAAUCCAGUGUCUCACAUAUACUAGCAAGUGCUCUACCACUGAGCCACAACCCUGCUCUUCCUAUAUAUCUUAAACUCAGAAAUCAUAAUUAUCAUUUUAUAAUGUUUUUGUAUUUUUUGCUCUCAUACCUUCCAUCUGGGCUCACAUUACUAAUAA